GGCGAACGGGUGAGUAAUGUAUCGGAACGUACCCAGUCGUGGGGGAUAACUAUCCGAAAGGAUAGCUAAUACCGCAUACGUCCUGAGGGAGAAAGCGGGGGACCUGCAAGGGCCUCGCGCGAUUGGAGCGGCCGAUAUCGGAUUAGCUAGUUGGUGAGGUAAAGGCUCACCAAGGCGACGAUCCGUAGCGGGUCUGAGAGGACGACCCGCCACACUGGAACUGAGACACGGUCCAGACUCCUACGGGAGGCAGCAGUGGGGAAUUUUGGACAAUGGGGGAAACCCUGAUCCAGCCAUUCCGCGUGAGUGAAGAAGGCCUUCGGGUUGUAAAGCUCUUUCAGCAGGAACGAAACGGUCGGCUUUAAUAAAGUCGGCUAAUGACGGUACCUGCAGAAGAAGCACCGGCUAACUACGUGCCAGCAGCCGCGGUAAUACGUAGGGUGCGAGCGUUAAUCGGAAUUACUGGGCGUAAAGCGUGCGCAGGCGGCGACAUAAGACAGAUGUGAAAUCCCCGGGCUCAACCUGGGAACUGCGUUUGUGACUGUGUUGCUAGAGUGUAGCAGAGGGGGGUGGAAUUCCACGUGUAGCAGUGAAAUGCGUAGAGAUGUGGAGGAACACCGAUGGCGAAGGCAGCCCCCUGGGUUAACACUGACGCUCAUGCACGAAAGCGUGGGGAGCAAAC
rnacentral:rRNA from 1 species